UUUSCUUAUCUAUGUUUCGUUCGUCUUUUGUCAUGAUCAUGAAGUUAGAUGAACCCCAAACCUGUCUCUUUGAGCCAUAUCAUUAAUGUUUGUGUUGAUGUAGUGGUGCRUGGAGCCUAGSUUGGUAUCUUUGAUGUAGUGCUUAAUGUGGGCAUGGGUCUCAUGGAUCCUUGUUAUGUCUUUGUUUAGWGUUUACGCUCCCUAAAAUGACUGCUUGACGCGUGUUGGCUMGUAAAASCGUGUUGGGCUCUGUCKAAGAGGACCGUUACCUGGU
rnacentral:misc_RNA from 1 species